UUCUGACCGUAAACUAUGCCAACUAGCGAUCCGCCGGUGGAUUUUUAGCCCUGGUGGGUAGCUUCCCGGAAACGAAAGUCUUCCGGUUCCGGGGGAAGUAUGGUUGCAAAGCUGAAACUUAAAGGAAUUGACGGAAGGGCACCACCAGGAGUGGAGCCUGCGGCUUAAUUUGACUCAACACGGGGAAACUCACCCGGCCCGGACACCGUAAGGAUUGACAGAUUGAGAGCUCUUUCAUGAUUCGGUGGUUGGUGGUGCAUGGCCGUUCUUAGUUCGUGGAUCGAUUUGUCUGGUUUAUUCCGAUAACGAGCGAGACUCUAGCCUACUAAAUAGUUGUGGGAUUAUCGCUGUCCCAACAGCUUCUUAGAGGGAUUUUCGGUGUUUAGCCGCACGAGAUUGAGCAAUAACAGGUCUGUGAUGCCCUUAGAUGUCCGGGGCUGCACGCGCGCUACACUGGCGAAAUCAGCGUGCUUCCCAUCCAUUCUCGAAAGGGAUUGGUAAACCCAUGAAAAUUUGCCGUGCUUGGGAUCGGAAAUUGCAAUUAUUUUCCGUGAACGAGGAAUUCCAAGUAAGUGCGAGUCAUCAACUCGCUCUG
rnacentral:rRNA from 1 species